rnacentral:rRNA from 1 species
UACGUAGGUGGCAAGCGUUGUCCGGAUUUAUUGGGCGUAAAGCGCGCGCAGGCGGUCCUUUAAGUCUGAUGUGAAAUCUUGCGGCUCAACCGCAAGCGGUCAUUGGAAACUGGGGGACUUGAGUACAGAAGAGGAAAGCGGAAUUCCACGUGUAGCGGUGAAAUGCGUAGAGAUGUGGAGGAACACCAGUGGCGAAGGCGGCUUUCUGGUCUGUAACUGACGCUGAGGCGCGAAAAGCGUGGGGGAGCAAACAGG